UUGCGUGUAGCGGGACGGCUUUACUUUUACUUACUUUAUUACAAUUAUUAUUAUAUUUUUACUGUACUUGAAGCGACUGUAGUAAUAGAACUUGUAACCUUUCAAGAAGCUACGAGAUGCCCCCGGUACUUAACAGGCGUCCAGAAUGUUUGGUUAUGUUUGCAACACUGGCUGAAGUUGCUCAGGCGUUGCGUGAGGUGGAUGCAAUGAAUCAUGCAGAUCGCUGACAGACGCCUCGAAGCUUCAGUGGCUAAUACUUGUAAUAAUAUAAUAAAAUACAAUUUUAAAGUGGAAUGACAACAAUUUGCUUGAUACCUGAAGUAAACUCCUACAGUGUUAUUAAACGUAUCUCAAUGUGAAGUAAAGAAUAAGUGUGAAAUAAAAAAGCAGUCCCUGCUCGUAAUUGAACACCACAAAAUUACGAUGUAAUAGGUCACUGAAGAUGCAGUUAUCAGCCUCUGGGUUUUGUAGAAUCAAAUGAUUGGAGGCAAGCCAUUGUAAGCAGAGAGAAUGUGGCCAUGAACAUUUUAAGGCUUCUUCAACGUGGCUACGAGGUCUGAGAACGAUGCGAGGGUCUGAUUCAAGCAUGCGUUCACUCUCUUCAACGCUGAAACAGACACGUGCAAGCAGAUGCAUACAUACGCAGAUGCACGACUUCAUCCAAGUUGCAGAUCAAUUACGGACCACUUUUUUCUACAGAAUGUCAUAUGAAUGGGUUCAGUCGCAGGUAAUUUAGUCGUUACAAAGUUUCUUUCUCUUAUAUUUGUGGCAUUAGUUUUUUAGUUAUUUAAAUAACGUGAAUAACAUUUACAUAAUCUCCGAACGUCAGCUGAUUAAUUUUAGGAAGUUCUCAUGCCUUUGGAUAAAUGCACGGCUGAAACACUGAAUCAUUAUGUGAGAGCUUAUCAAAAGAGCAUUUUAUAAAUUUAAUACAGUAAGCAAUGCUUUGGUUUGCAGGACAGAGCAAGGCAAACUACACAUUUAAAUUCAUAUUUUUUAACAAUUGUAAAUGUUACGGGCAGUGGUCGGCUGGUUUCCUGAAGGUCAUUAAAUUAAGCAUUACACCAGAGUAAUGUGAUUUAUACUCUGGAAAUUGCUCCAGAAAUAAUAAUAAUAAAGAGGGAAGACUUUCCUGGCUUCAUUCAGCUGCCAAGCAGACGCCCACAAAGUUUGAUAUUGCAUCUACUUUUAAGAUUCAAUAAUCCUCUUACAAUUAAAUUGAUCGUAUUUCAGCAUCUGAUUUAUUGAUGCUGUGACAGAUUCGGGGGUUAUGUAAUAUCAGAUGCAACCCUAACUCCCUGAUUGGGUACAAAAAUAUAAUUUAGAAAAAAUAUAUAUGUUACUAGGUCUUUCAGAGAGAAAUGCCAUUGAAUAAGUCAUUUUAAAACCACACAAGUCCACUUCUUGAGAAAACUGAACAAUUUCUACCAGGGACUAAUGCGUUCCAUCAAACCCACAGCAAUUGCAAAAGACAUAACCACAUGAGUCACGCAGUGUUCCUUUUAAUUUUAUGUGGGGUACUUAUAAAAACAACAUGAGUCUAGAAAUAACUUUAGCUCAAAACUCUGUGUGCAUAAAAAGUUUAAGUGAACUGCCUGUCAAUUUUUAUUGAUGAAAAAAAUAAAUAAAACAGCAGUGUUAAUUAAAAUGGUUUUUUACUUCUCUCAGUAGUGACUUUUGUGGACUCUAAUGGUUUCGCAAAUGACUGGUUCAGUUAGUAUCGCUACGACCUUAAUCUUUGCAGUUACACAGCCAAGCUGAUUUUAUAAGUCAUUCACUUCUACGAAAAGAUCGGCAAACAAAUACAAAUAUAGAACACAAGAUUGACCACACACACGUCUGUGAUCGGAGGUCACAGACGAAAACGGAUGUUAUUUCAACUUAAUACUUGUUGGUGUGAAGCAUUACAAAGGACGCAUGCCUCACAAAUAGAAUGACAUGAGGUGUAAUGAAUAUGUAAAUAAGAGAAAAGUGAUAAGGAGAACUAGAACACUACAUUUUGUUCCAAAAGCAACAACAAACCACAAAUUCACGUUUUGAGGUCAAUC